rnacentral:rRNA from 1 species
AGUGAACGCUGGCGGUAGGCCUAACACAUGCAAGUCGAACGGCAGCACAGUAAGGGCUUGCUCUUACGGGUGGCGAGUGGCGGACGGGUGAGGAAUACAGCGGACUCUACUUUUUCGUGGGGGAUAACGUAGGGAAACUUACUCUAAUACCGCAUACUACCUACGGGUGAAAGCAGGGGAUCUUCGGACCUUGCGCGAUUGAAUGAGCCGAUGGCGGAUUAGCUAGUUGGCGGGGUAAGGGCCCACCAAGGCGACGAUCCGUAGCUGGUCUGAGAGGAUGAUCAGCCACACUGGAACUGAGACACGGUCCAGACUCCUACGGGAGGCAGCAGUGGGGAAUAUUGGACAAUGGGCGCAAGCCUGAUCCAGCCAUACCGCGUGGGUGAAGAAGGCCUUCGGGUUGUAAAGCCCUUUUGUUGGGAAAGAAAAGCAGCAGGUUAAUACCCCGCUGUUCUGACGGUACCCAAGGAAUAAGCACCGGCUAACUUCGUG